UACGGAGGGGGCAAGUGUUACUCAUCAUAACUGGGCGUAAAGCGUGCGUAGGUGGUUAAUUAAGUUAUAAGUUAAAAAUAAAUGAUGUAGGUUUAUGUAGCUUAUAAUACUGAUUGGCUAGAGAUUUGAUAGGGAAAGUGGUAUUUUUGAGGAAAGGGGUAGAAUCCACUGAGUUCAAAAAGACAAUCGGAAGCGAAGGCGACUUUCAGAUAAAUCUGACACUGAGGCACGAAAGCAUAGGGAGCAAACAGG
rnacentral:rRNA from 1 species